UACGGGGGGGGCAAGCGUUGUUCGGAAUUACUGGGCGUAAAGGGCUCGUAGGUGGCCAACUAAGUCAGACGUGAAAUCCCUCGGCUUAACCGGGGAACUGCGUCUGAUACUGGAUGGCUAGAGAUUGGGAGAGGGAUGCGGAAUUCCAGGUGUAGCGGUGAAAUGCGUAGAUAUCUGGAGGAACACCGGUGGCGAAGGCGGCAUCCUGGACCGGUAUUGACGCUGAGGAGCGAAAGCCAGGGGAGCAAACGGG
rnacentral:rRNA from 1 species